CAGGUGUUCUCUUUUUAAAGCUAAAAGGACGCCAAGCGCCAAAUUGGUUUCAUUUACCCGAAGUCAACUGUCUGUCACCCGGAAGCAGAUGAUCUUCCUCCUGACAAUCAUCAGAAGGUCAACAUUGGCCUGAGGCUACAUCACAGUGCCUACAUAAUUUACGUCAUUUCAUCUCAUCACGCAGGCAUUUAUUAUGUACCCAGAAGAAGGGUGUCCUACAAGAAGAUAUUGUUGACAAAGAGCAGCGAGAAGAGAAGAGAAGCAGCAGCUAAAUCUGGCUCUCUGUUAAGGUGAUAAGAGACUAUCUCUCAUUUAGAGACAGUUUGACGAUGGUGGCAGUAUACUUUUUGUGAUGAGAGCACACAGAGACAGCAUAUAGAAGAAAGAACCCGGCAAUCUUUUAAUAACUGUUUUUUAAAAUAAAAACAA